rnacentral:rRNA from 1 species
UACAGAGGGGGCAAGCGUUGUUCGGAAUUAUUGGGCGUAAAGCGCGCGUAGGCGGCCACUUAAGUCGGAUGUGAAAGCCCCUGGCUCAACUGGGGAAGUGCACCCGAAACUGAGCGGCUUGAAUGCAAAAGAGGGUCGCGGAAUUCCCGGUGUAGAGGUGAAAUUCGUAGAUAUCGGGAGGAACACCGGUGGCGAAGGCGGCGACCUGGGUUGACAUUGACGCUGAGGCGCGAAAGCGUGGGGAGCAAACAGG